UGGCGGCAGGCCUAACACAUGCAAGUCGAGCGGAUGACGGGAGCUUGCUCCUUGAUUCAGCGGCGGACGGGUGAGUAAUGCCUAGGAAUCUGCCUGGUAGUGGGGGACAACGUUUCGAAAGGAACGCUAAUACCGCAUACGUCCUACGGGAGAAAGCAGGGGACCUUCGGGCCUUGCGCUAUCAGAUGAGCCUAGGUCGGAUUAGCUAGUAGGUGAGGUAAUGGCUCACCUAGGCGACGAUCCGUAACUGGUCUGAGAGGAUGAUCAGUCACACUGGAACUGAGACACGGUCCAGACUCCUACGGGAGGCAGCAGUGGGGAAUAUUGGACAAUGGGCGAAAGCCUGAUCCAGCCAUGCCGCGUGUGUGAAGAAGGUCUUCGGAUUGUAAAGCACUUUAAGUUGGGAGGAAGGGCAGUAAGCUAAUACCUUGCUGUUUUGACGUUACCGACAGAAUAAGCACCGGCUAACUCUGUGCCAGCAG
rnacentral:rRNA from 1 species